rnacentral:lncRNA from 1 species
AUGACUUGAGAUUUUGGUAAUAGUUUAAAAGGCAACAGAGUUUUAGUUUUGAUCAAAAUAAACAAAACACUUCCAAACAACAGAUUUUUAAAUUUAUUUUGCUAUUUUAAGAAAACUACAUAUGGCCCAAAGAGCCUCUGCACAUUAGAACAUUAUGAAACUAUUCUAAGAAUGGUGAUUACCUUUCUUACUUCUCAUAACUAUUUGUACUGUUUCUGAAUGUCAUUAAUAAUAAAAAUGUUCUUUUCUUUGGUUUUCUUUAUAUACCUAAAAUAUCUCUUGUAUAAUCACAUUUAAUUUAUUUAUUGGGUCAUUUUUAUAAGUUUAUAUGUAUGUGUACAAAUAAUACCAUUCAUAUUUUUAGGGGGAAAGUAUAUAAUACACUGGACAAAUGUGAGUUUUUUUCAAAACCAUUAUAACAGAGAAAAAUAAAAAUGAGAAUAUAAAGUGUGCAUCAGUAAGAAAGAAAGAGCACAAGUCAGCAAUAUGUUUCUAUGAUUGAGCCACAUACAUCUUCCUAUAAUCUCUCUUUCAAAAUACAAAGAAUUAAGGGUUUAUUAAUGAUGUAUUUGUCCUUAAUUCUGCAGAGACAACAUACCUGUUUUUCAGUAAACAAAUACUAUUCUUGAAAGUUGCAGCAAAUUAAUUUGCUGUUUUGUAGAUUAUUGAAGUGAAUAGACUUACUCUGGUUACUGUAAUUGAAAAGACACCAGAUUCUCCAAUCAUAAGAAAUUAAUUUCUCUAUGCUUAUCAUGGCUUGAAAUGAAAUACAUUACUUUGCUUGGCUUCCAAGCAGUGCUCUCACCUAUAUUGUGGUUGUGAAGUUCCUGUAGUUAACUAUGAAAUGUGAUACAACAAGCACGUUUUUUCUACUGGGAUUGACAGUUUCUAUUUCUGCUCUAAUUUACCAGGUCCUGCCUCCUCACUUUCCCACAUAUUAAAUUUUUAGUUCAAGUUUCUGAAAUUUCUUCCUCAUUUCAGGUACGUUUAACCUUUUCUACUUCAUUCAUAAUUUUCCCUCCUUCAACUUUUAAAACAAACAAUCACUAGGAAAUUUUUAGUGGAGACUCUGUAUGUUUUUAGACAUUUUUAACUUUAAAAACUGCAGUUUAUUUUCUGGCUUCAAGUUAUCAAAGUUUUUCUUUCUUUGACUCUUUUCUUCCCAAUCUUUGCUGCAUGUCUAGUAGUUUUUCUUAGUAAAAGCUUGAAAAGUUGAGUCAGAUAUUAUUAUUAUUAUUAUUUCUUUUUUUUUUUCUAACCACAAAGAGCCAUAUCUCCAGCUCUUUUUUUAAAUAUUUUAUUUAGAGGCAGGGUCAAAGUUUCUUAGGGCCUCCCUAAAUUGCUGAGGCUGGCUUUGAACUCAUGAUCUUUCUGCCUCAGCCUCCCAAGCUGCUGAGAUAACAAGCGUGUACCAUCACACCUGGCAAGUAAGGUAUUUUAAAGUCUGACAAAUAAUAGACUUUGUCCUGAUCAGUGCUUUGCCAGUUUUGAUGCCGAAAACCAAUUUUAAUAAAUAUUUAUAACCAAAAAUUUUCAAACUUUGAAACUUACAUGUUUUGGUAUUUAGUCUGUCUUAAUUACUUUUUUAUAAUUAAAUUCCUUAUUUACUUAUUCAAAAUAAAGAAGAUUUUUAUAAAAUAAAGAAAUAAACUAGUAAAUCAACAGACUGUAUGCAUCAAUAGGGUAUAUGUUAUGUUGUGCAUGUAUGAAUGUCACAAUGAAUCUCUCUAGUAUGUUUAAUUGUAAUGCACUAAUAAAAGAAAUUUUUAAAAAAAAGACUAAACAUGUAAUUAUCCCACAACCCGUGAAUUUCAUUUCUGGGCAUUUAUCUGUAUUAAGAAUUGUAAUGAAAAAAAAAAAAGAGUAGUACAUGUAUAAUGGCAUAAUUUGGUGUGAACAUACUUUAUAUACAGAGUUACAAAAAAUUGUGCUGUAUAUGUGUAAUAAGGAGUGUAAUGCAUUCCACUAUUGUGGUGUAUUUAAAAAAUAAAUAAAAACAACAAAAAAGAAAACUAAAAAAAUAAUAUAUACAUAAAUAACUACAAAAAAUCAACACAUAAAAAUAAAUCCUAAAAUAAUAUGAAAGAAAGAUGCUUUGUCCAAUAUUUAUUAAUUAUGAAAUGCAAAUAUUAACCUCAUGCUUUAAUCAUCAAUUGUGAAAUGUUUACUAGGGAGUACAAAUGAUAAAAUUAAUGCUUUUAUUUUAUUUAAAUUACAAUGAUGCUAGAGAGGGAUAGACUUAGAAUUUUUUGAAAUAAAAUCAUUGCAGAGCUAUAAUUGUGUUUUCAAUCCUUUGUUAAUGGCAUUAAUUUUAUCUAUAAAAAUUAACAGGCAUAUCUAUUCUUCAACACAAAUAUUAAAAAAUAUUUCCCCCUGUUUUUAUUAUAAGAUACCUUUCCAAAUUAUAGAGUGACAUAUCAAUAUUUGCACUCUUUAUUUCACAGUGUUUUUUCCUAUAUGAAAAUGAAUGAGGAGCCUAC